GCAAGGGCAAGCGCAGAGAGACAUUCGCAUCAACUAGAAGGAAGGCCUUCGGUCUGUGCUUGGUCUGGGUGGUUAUGGAAAUGCUUGGCCCGGGGAGUCCUGGGCGUGUUUGUUCCUAGAUAAGCGCAAUAAUAUGCACGUAUUUUACGCCAACUUACACCCCCUCACCCUCACACAUGCCAUUUCCCUUCCUGUCCAACCC
rnacentral:lncRNA from 1 species